GCACUAAUCCACUCAGGGGAACCUGGCCCUUAAUUCGAUGGUCCACGACAUUCUUACCUUCCCUUGUUUUGUCACAGGCUGAGAGGCCCUGACAUCCAAUCAGCUCGCAUACCGCCGUUUUGCAGCUUGUACCGAGAGGUAACAGAAACAGGCAAACCAGUCGGCAUAGAUGAUAUAUGCCAGGCUAACAAUUCAGGUAAACGUGCGGCAAAUGGGAAGGCGGGAGCUGGGUUACAGAUGAAGCUUAUAACGGAGGUCUAUCUUAAGGAUAGGGUGAAGAAGGACUUGAAAGUAACUAUCUUGGACAAAGAGGUGGUGAAUAGCGCGCUAGUGUGUGU
rnacentral:rRNA from 1 species